GACGAACGCUGGCGGCGUGCUUAACACAUGCAAGUCGAACGGAAAGGCCCAGCUUGCUGGGUACUCGAGUGGCGAACGGGUGAGUAACACGUGGGUGAUCUGCCCUGGACUCUGGGAUAAGCCUGGGAAACUGGGUCUAAUACCGGAUAUGACCUUACAUCGCAUGGUGUUUGGUGGAAAGCUUUUGCGGUUCAGGAUGGGCCCGCGGCCUAUCAGCUUGUUGGUGGGGUAAUGGCCUACCAAGGCGACGACGGGUAGCCGACCUGAGAGGGUGAUCGGCCACACUGGGACUGAGACACGGCCCAGACUCCUACGGGAGGCAGCAGUGGGGAAUAUUGCACAAUGGGCGCAAGCCUGAUGCAGCGACGCCGUGUGAGGGAUGACGGCCUUCGGGUUGUAAACCUCUUUCACCAGGGACGAAGCGUGAGUGACGGUACCUGGAGAAGAAGCACCGGCCAACUACGUG
rnacentral:rRNA from 1 species